GACGAACGCUGGCGGCGUGCUUAACACAUGCAAGUCGAACGGAAAGGCCCUGCUUUUGUGGGGUGCUCGAGUCGCGAACGGGUGUGUAACACGUGAGUAACCUGCCCUUUACUUUGGGAUAACUUCAGGAAACUGGGGCUAAUACCGGCUAGGAGCUCCUGCUGCAUGGGGGGGGAUGGACAGUUUCGGCGGUUAGCGAUGGACGGGGGGCUUAUCAGUUUGUUGGGGGGGUAGUGGCUUACCCAGGGUUUGACGGGUAGCCGGCCUGAGAGGGUGACCGCCCACAUGGGGCCUGAGGGACGGACCAGUCGGGUACGGGGGACAGUGGGGGGGAAUAUUGCACAAUGGGGGGGCGCCUGAUACAGAGACGCCGCGUGCGGGAUGACGGCCUGCGGGUUAUGAACCGCUUUGGCCUGAGACGACGGGUGAGUGACGGUAACGGAUGAAGAAGCACCGGCUAACUACGUG
rnacentral:rRNA from 1 species